GAGGCCCCUAGCUUUCUGCAGGGCGAAGAGCGGGCAAUCUCCACCCGCCUGGGGUCUUUUUCCCUUAAUGG
rnacentral:sRNA from 1 species